CGAUAUGGUACCUGUGAUUCCUUCUGAUGCGAGAUCCAGCACAAUAACACGGCGAGGAGACCGUUGGCUGCAAGUGAUCCCGUGCCAGCUGCAAAACUCCAAGGAUGCAUUGCUCCAUGUGGCAAAAACAUCAGCUGGAGCAGAUAGCUGGGACUUGAAGCAGAGGAGUGCUUGUUGGUCAUUUUCUCUUUCACUGCAGGUGGCCUCUGGUAGGCUGCCAAGGAAGGUGAUGAAACAAAGAAGCCAAACAAGACAUGGUGACAAGAUGCCCAAAGAGGCCAUUGCUGUUUAUCCAAAUUGUCCUUUACUGGAGUCUACUUAUAUAUGGGGCAGCCGUAGCUCCUUGCUGCUCUACAUAGUGCACAGCAUCUUCUAGUCCAACGUAAGGAGGGUGUCUGGAAAUUGAGUUGCUUGGAAGGUCGACAAUAUUGGAGCUGGAAUAUGUGGACCAUCUCGUUUGUAAAUAAAACAGCUACUUCCGGACAGCAGACUGAGAUUCCGGUUGGCCACCAACCUUUGCAAGCUGCCAUUGACCCGUCCACCUGCCGAAAACUUUGACUGAAGAGAAUGUAUUCAUCUGCAAAACUUUCCAAUGACAUUGAUACUGCCAUGAUGUAAACGCACACCCCGCCUUCUGAAUGAAGUUAUGAAAGCGCGUAACUCUUCGGUUCCCAGGCCAGGUAGCUUGCGUUCUCCCUAGAGCUGAUGGCACUUGAUAACAACUCCCCCGUUCAGCUGCCCCCUUCAUCAGUCAGCAAUUCUCCAGCCACACCGGCCAUUACACCUCCAGCCACUCCAGGCAGCAGCGGUCCUCCGGCUACUCCUGGAGCAGGAGGUGAUCCUCCGGCAGUUCAACCCGUCACACCUCCGGCAGUUCCAGAUCCGGAUCCAGAUAGUGAGAACCGUCAUAACCCUAACGCAUAUCUUCGUGACCCAUGAAAUGUUGUGAGCUGAGCUCGAAUCAUGACCAGUCUUAGGGUCCAGUAAUCCCGACAGUGCUAUUUGGCAAAAUUGUGUUCCAAAGUCCAUCAAAUUUGGAAUUUGAGUAUCAUCACAUAAGAGACCAUACCGUUUGGCAUAUGUUACUAUGUAACCAUUAUUACUACGAUGUUGCAGAUUUAUGUUAUUGUAAAAAAAAGUUAUUGGCAUAAAUGUUUAGCAAUUGGAUCCAUUAUUAAGUUGUGCAUGCUAUUGACAUUCUCCGAUUCAUAUUGAAAGCUAUCAGAAAAUUUACUUAUGCAGCGAUAAUGCGAUAAUUGGCCUUCUUUUUCCUGUUUCAUAUUGAAAGCUAGCGUUGGACCCGAGCAUUGCUUAGACAAUUCUUAUAAUUGGGUCACGUAAAUUGUCAAAUAAAAACAACCCUGGCUAACCAACGCCAAGUUCUGAGAUGACUUUCAUGGACAGAUUUAUAAGAUCAUUGAAUAUGUUACCGAUAUGUCAUCAGUCAAUCCCACACUAAUGAUCCUUGUCGAUCAACCCUCACAGGCUGGUAGAAAAUUAUAGGAACAACUGAAUAGGAGAAAAAUUUAACAUUUCAAAACGUCUGCGAAAUGCAAUUUGUGGAGUAUAAAUUAUGUCAUAGACUUGAAGCUAUAUUUUUAAGCGAAACAAACCUCCCUUCAACUUAGUUAUUGAACGCCUAUUAGUGGCAAACUGGUAAAUAUUUGAAUAUUUAAAAAAUUAUUCAGUACGGUAAUCGUAUAAAAUGUGUCAUUGUUUUAAAUACUGUUAACGAAAUUAAGUCUCUCUUAGUCAAUGGCUACAAAUGGUCUACAAGCUUACAACAUGGUCGACGAAUAUUUACACUUGUACUACUAGGAAGGUUUUGUGUGAAAUCUACUUUCAAUGUGCAAGACAAAAUAAAGGAGAACUUGUUUUUUUCUUCUUUUUUUAAGAACUUGUUAGUUCACUGGAAGGUACAUGCGGCAAAUGCUGACCUCGGUGCUCUGGCAGAGGCGUUUGCCUCUAUCAAGACUCUCUUUGAAUAACCCCGAAUUUUUCUUGGAGAUGAAGAAUUUUCUUGGGGGGCGAAAUAGAACAGCCUUCAUCUAGGACAGCAAAACCAACAUUACAAAUGACUCCAGAACAAAUUAGCAUAAGAAACAUCUAGUAUAAAAGGCAAAUUUGUACAAAAGAAAAGUUUCAGUAUUUUACUUCAGCCACGGGAAAGUUCAAUAUAGAGCCGUAGAACCAUGUAAAAUGACUCAAUUAUGUUUUCACAUUUUUUAAUUCAGAUCUCAGAUCUGCAUGAGAACUUGGAUAAACUAACCAAGCAAUUUGGAUAAACUUCAGCUAAAUGUUCACAUUUCUUUAGUUUAAUAUAUUUGUUGCUAAGAAAUCAAACACUGCAGGGUUUAGACUUGAAACCGCAAUUGACAUGGAUUGUGAUCCCACUAACCAGGGGCAGACUUACGUUGAGCUCAGCGGGGUCCAGGCCACCACUCAGCUUCCUAUUUUUCAGUGGACAUAUGCUUUGUUUCGUGAAGUUUUAAAGGUAGUAUCAGGCCACCACUCAUUUUUGAGCUAGGUCUGCCCCUGCCACUAACCUCUGCAAGCGUUGCAUUAACUGAAAAGUUGACUAACCACAGUAUGACAGCACGUGGUUCUUCGAUUCACAACCAUGGCACAGGUAGCUUUACUAGCCUUUUUUUCAUCUAAACGCAUAAAUUACCCUUUCCAAGCAAGUGCUCUGGUUGCAGCCUUCAUUACCUCAACUUUUGAUGAUCUCCCUAAAGCUAAUACCUCUGCUACAUACGCUCUGCGGCCACUUAAUUAAACCUUUUAUUUUCAAAAUAACAUCGAGGUUAUCCACAUUUCCAUGCUUUGCUAAUUUUUCUUAGAAACUCAGCUGCCAUGUUACUAGAAAAAUUACAACUCGUAUCAAAUCAGGUUAAUCUAGACGUUAUCUUCCACUUUAUAACUACAAUCCAAGAAGGACCAGACCAAUCCCAUCUUAACUGGAAUCUUACUAUUUGCUAGAUCGUUAUCAAAACAGUUAUAUGAUCCUACCUACUUCAAAAAAAUUGUUGUUUCUGAAAAAAAAUGCAAAUUUUGAAGCUUACUAUAAACAAUAGCAUGAAUAAUCCACUUAGUUAAAGGAUUAAACUUUUUUUAACUAUUAUAGGACAAACGGGGAGCCGAAUUUUGGUCCCACUUGCAUUACUAUGAUUCUAUGAACCUGCAUACGUUGGUGCGAAGAUAUUUGGUAUCUGAGGUUCAGACAUUCAGAAUACGACAGAGACUGUGAGAGCCCCUCCCACUUGCCUUUGUAGACCCGUUGAAUGGACGCGGUCAGCAGCACGCUACUUGACUGGUCAGUCGCCCUCUGAAUGGCGAUUGAUUUGAACGCACACCUUCAUCUCGGCGAAUCAAGGUUCUUCGACUCGCCGGCGACAGAGAUCGACAAGAAUGCGAUCUAUCUGAAAUAGUUUAGGCACUGCUAAAAUUUUCACAAAACAAGCAAUGCAAACUGCAGUUCAGUAUUCUGAACCUGCGAGUUGGUUCGAUGGAUUGUGGGUUUUUGAAUUUUGAUACUGGGUCUAUAGAGAUUUUCAGACAGAGACUGCACCAGCCUUCCUCUGCAUACGUCGCCCUCAUGACUAGCUGCAAUCUGACUUCACCGUACCGAAGUCAGACUCCACAUGAGAUUGAUAUGAACGCAUGCAUUCCUCUCAGGAAAGUCCAGAGUCGCCGGAGCAAGUAGCCUGCUGGCUUGCCGACAAUCGGACCCGGUCAUGGCCCUUGAGAUAUUGGCAUCCAAAUGCAUAAAUACCCCUUGUAGGCAACCGGUCUGCUGGACCCAAUGCAGUAGAACACCUUUCAGCUAGCAUUGCAUUGCGCUAAAAAAUGGCACUUGUUCUCUUCAAGAGGUUAAACCACGGCGGGGUUUUGCGCACCUUCAGAAUGGCACUUGUUAACAGGUAUCCCACCUCUCCGAUGGCCACUUGCGCCGGCGAUCCUCCGGCCGUGACGACCGCUAAGCCUCCGGCAGCCUCAACCCAAGGCGAUUGUUCACAUGCGCCAAAAGCUCCAGCCGAUAAGCCCGCAGGCUGCGAUCCUCAGGCUUCUCCUGCCGUUGAGCCACCAGCAUACCCACCUUCUGGCGAUUGUCCAUGUGAUCCACAAGAAGCUCAACCUCUUGGUCCAGGUGAAGUGCCGCGGCGUGAUCCUGACCCACUGCAAGAUCCUAGGGACGGUACGCCGGACCCAUGAUACUUCUUGGGCAACGAUAAAAUCCCAAUGUUGUCCGGCAUAGUUUCUAGAUCUGUGGAAUAGAUCAAAUUCAAGUUUAGAUUUAAAUUUCAGAUAAAGGACCCUAGUAAUUUGUAGUAUUUCAGGGUGUAUGCGCUGCCACUUAUUGGAGUAAAUGAUUUUGCUGUACUGGGUCAUUUUUUAGAAAACUGAACGUUCAUGUUCUGAUAUUACAUAUUUGCUAUAUAUGUUGUUGCUAUUAAA